rnacentral:lncRNA from 1 species
AGAGAGAGAGAGAGAGAGAGAUGCAUUAUAUUAUAUUUAGAAAUUCUCAUCAUGGUUGAACAUCAUACGCGUUGCAAUUUAAACGAAGAAUAAUUUUCAAGGAUGUAAAAGAGUAGUGUUACUAAAAGGAUACAGGAAGUAAAAGUUUGUCUCUUAUUUUCGAACACGAGUCCAAACGUAGAUCAGAAUUGCGAGAGAAGAAGAAGAAAAAGAAGAAGAAAAGAAUACACAGGUAAAAAUGAUUUCUUCGACGUACUAGAGAUUUACGGUAUGUCACGCGAAAGGUCUUCGGUCAAAUUGUUUCACAUUGAUUUUCAGGUCGAAGAUGAGAGAAAGAGAAAGAAAGAAAGAAAGAAAGAAAAAAAGAAAGAAAGAGAGAGAGAGAGAGGCGUCUGUACCGCUUCGUCUGCCCACACGCGACGUCUCUGAGAAGGCAUUGUGGUUUCCAGGCACUUAUUUAUGUGCAGCUCGACGUUUCCGCCCCUUCCGCCUAUAGUUUAGGGCCGUUGACUUGAACGAAAGCGUCCAAGUGGAAGGAAGGCAUCGUGCCAUCGUCGUCGUCUUCGUCGUCGUCUUCGUCGUCAUCUUCGACGUUUCCCGUUGUCACUUUGUCGCAACACCGACGACGACCUUUUCUUUCAUCGUUUCUCGCGACAGGUGUAAUUACACGGAUGAGAUGAGAUGAGACGAGACGAUACGACUAACUCUCACUUCUAUGUCUUCUAAUGGAAAUUCAUUUUUCGUCCUUCGAAACGUCUAGCGCAAAUUAAUCGGAGAAGGAAAUAAAUCGCUGUUACAACGUUCGACCACUUUCUCGGAGAAUGACUAUUUCGUCGUGUUUAAUAACUGUCGAGUCGUGUGUUUAUGUUUGUCUUAACUGGUAAAUGAAAAUGUAUUUACAAAAGGGAAGGAUUGAAUUGGAAGGAAAGUAGUUCUUGUAUAGCUUUAUUUUUCUUCCUUUAUAUCUGACACAAAAUUUUUUCAACAAUGAGCGAUAUAUUAUACAUUGUUUGUUCGUUAGAUUAUUAUAAGAACUUUUAUAUAUCGAGAUAUAACGGGGAAUCGUAAGAGUUUGAUAUAUCGGAUUAAAAAAUAAAAAAAAAGGAAAAAAGAAACAAAGGAAAAAGUUGCGUGAAAAUAACUACGCCCGUUGACCCGAAACACAUUCUCUCUCUCUUUCUCUUUCUUUAUAUAAUAUAAGAAAGAUUUUUGCUCUUGGCGCGUACACAACGCGUAUGCAAAAUAAGCGACGACGGGCUCAUAACGUAUGUAUCUCGCUUUCUAUCGGAGCUCGCGAAACCAUAUUAGUGCAUCCUGCAUUGCGCAAACCGUACGGCCAGCUGCAAUCCUGGCUCCAUAUUAGCCUUCUUGUCCACCACUACUUUCGCGGCUUGGCUUAUUGAUUGGGUUAUAAUCGACGAAAAAUACGGAGUCGAUGGCCCAUUACACGAGCUUCUCCGUUCGAUCGUCUUUCGAUUCUUCGCCAUUUCAUCGUCACCCUCAUCUUCGUUUAGUUGUUCCGCUUACAGUCGUACGCGGAUGCAUUUUACGUCCGCCUAUGUAUUUUAUAUUAAGUUCUAUUUCUUUUUAUUAUUUUAUUAUUAUUAUAUUAUUUCAUCCCCUUCCAUAUCUUAUAGAUUCGAAACCGUUCGUUCAACUGCUAACAACAACAACGCAACACGAGCUUCAGGAUCGCGAACGACUUCCACGAAACGAUUAUUUACCAGGAAGGAAGGACCUUUUGUGAACGACUAAGCGACUCAAGACGAUCGAGGAGGAUAUCGUCGUCGAUCAACGACCGUGCGAACGCCAGUGCGAGGGUUAUUUGUAAUUGUUAGGAUUGCAUUGUAACGAGAGCCUGAGUUAUUGGACGUCGUUGGGCAUAUCGUAUCCUUAUUGAAUCUCCUGUCACGUUACAGCGACGUCGUUAGUUUCGUUCAAAAAGUUAUGCGUGUCAAGGUAUUAUAGAUUUAGUCCUUUCUACCUGCAAAUAGGUCGAAGUUAUCCGAUUUCGCAGUUACGAAAGAGCCCAUUGAGUUAGUAUUUGCCGCUCGUUUAAUUCCACUCGCAGACCAAGAACGUAAUACGACGAAUAAGCAAGGACGAAUUUGAUCGGCGAGAUUAUAUAAUGCGGUUUAUUCAAAAAAGUAUAACUAAGGAAAAGUCAUUUUUAUGAUAAAAAUAGAUAACUAGGCUGAGGAAAAAAUUUCAUUGGCGUGGAGAAAGAUAGAUAAAUAAAGAAAGAGAAAGAGAAAAGACAAACAACGCUCUAUGUUACUGCGAGCUCACGAUCCGGCAGUACAAUAAAUUUCUUCGAAGUAUCGGCUGGUCUCGAGUGUGUCGCACCUUCGACUUGGCUCGCACGUCGUCGAAUUAAUUUCCACGCGUUUGCGGAGUCGGCACAGAGAAGAAGAAGAAGAAUAAAAAACAAAAAUAAAAAAAGAAGAAGAAGAGGGUGAU